CCCUUCGAUGUUCUGGGCCGCACGCGUGUUACACUGAUAAAUUCAACGAGUCUAGAACCUGUUCUGAGAAGAAUGGGGAAUCUUGUGAAAUUUUAUCGUGAUAGGGAUAGAUGAUUGCAAUUAUUCAUCUUAAACGAGGAAUGCCUAGUAAGGGCAGUUCAUCAAACUGUCCUGAUUACGUCCCUGCCCUUUGUACACACCGCCCGUCGCUCCUACCGAUUGAAUGGUCCGGUGAAGCCUCGGGAUUGUGGCUGGUUUCCUUUAUUGGAGGUCGGUUGCGAGAACUUGUCUAAACCUUAUCAUUUAGAGGAAGGUGAAGUCGUAACA
rnacentral:rRNA from 1 species